CCCUUAGAUGUUCUGGGCCGCACGCGUGCUACACUGACCGGCGCAACAAGCUUUUUUCCUUGGCUCGACAGGCCUGGGUAAUCUUCGAACGCCGGUCGUGAUGGGGAUAGAUCCUUGCAAUUUUUGAUCUUCAACGAGGAAUUCCUAGUAAAUGCGAGUCAUCAUCUCGCGUUGAUUACGUCCCUGCCCUUUGUACACACCGCCCGUCGCACCUACCGAUUGAAUGGUCCGGUGAAGCGUUCGGACCGUGGCCUUUGGACGGUUCGCCGUCUGUUGGCUGCGGGAAGUUCGUUAAACCUUAUCAUUUAGAGGAAGGAGAAGUCGUAACA
rnacentral:rRNA from 1 species